rnacentral:rRNA from 1 species
GAUGAACGCUGGCGGCAUGCCUAACACAUGCAAGUCGAUCGGUAAGGCUCUUCGGAGUACACGAGAGGCGGACGGCUGAGUAACGCGUAGGAACACACCCUGCAUUGAGGGAUAAGACACCGAAAGGUGUUCUAAUACCGCAUACGGUCGUCGGAUUAAAGCAUUUAUGCGCUGAAGGAGUGGCCUGCGUCAUAUUAGAUAGUUGGUGAGGUAAUGGCUCACCAAGUCGAUGAUGUGUAGCUGGUCUGAGAGGAUGAUCAGCCAGACUGGAACUGAGACACGGUCCAGAAUCCUACGGGAGGCAGCAGUGAGGAAUAUUUCACAAUGAGCGAAAGCUUGAUGGAGCAAUGCCGCGUGCAGGAUGAAGGCCCUCGGGUUGUAAACUGCUUUUAUAAGAGAAGAUUAUGACGGUAACUUAUGAAUAAGAGACGGCUAACUACGUG